rnacentral:rRNA from 1 species
GGUUUAAUUCGAUGCAGCGCGAAAACCUUACCACUUGACAUGUACGGAAUCCUUUAGAGAUAGAGGAGUGCUCGAAAGAGAGCCGUAACACAGGUGCUGCAUGGCUGUCGUCAGCUCGUGUCGUGAGAUGUUGGGUUAAGUCCCGCAACGAGCGCAACCCUUGUCAUUAGUUGCUACAUUCAGUUGGGCACUCUAAUGAGACUGCCGGUGACAAACCGGAGGAAGGUGGGGAUGACGUCAAGUCCUCAUGGCCCUUAUAGGUGGGGCUACACACGUCAUACAAUGGCUGGUACAAAGGGUUGCCAACCCGCGAGGGGGAGCUAAUCCCAUAAAGCCAGUCGUAGUCCGGAUCGCAGUCUGCAACUCGACUGCGUGAAGUCGGAAUCGCUAGUAAUCGUGGAUCAGAAUGUCACGGUGAAUACGUUCCCGGGUCUU